AUGGACGCCUGGAAGUCGUCAAGUAUCUACUAGAUCUCCAACCCUACACAGUUUCCGUGAAGAACAAAGAUGGGAGAACUCCUCUUGGUGAAGCAGUGUACUGGGGGAAAGCAGGUUGUGUACCCUACUUGCUGGAAGUCACCUGGACCAAGCUUGCAUAUGAUGAGGCAAAGGAGAUUGUGGAGGAAGCCAGAAGGAUAGCUCAAACCCGC